rnacentral:misc_RNA from 1 species
CAUCCACAAGACGUUAGCGUCGUCCUUCCCGACCUCCAAGGCACGCGCGGCCAGCUGAAGCCCUGCCGCCGUCUCUGCCUCGACCUGCUCCGCCCACCCCUGUUGUCGCCGCUCG